AUUGAACGCUGGCGGCAGGCCUAACACAUGCAAGUCGAGCGAGGGGCGCACGGGUGAGUAAUAUAUGGGAAUGUGCCCUAUAGUGGGGGAUAACUAGUGGACAGUGUGGCUAAUACCGCAUAAUCUCCGAUGGGCCGAUAUGGGAUUAGCUAGGAGGUGGGGUAAAGGCUCACCGAGGCGACGAUCUCUAGCUGGUCUGAGAGGAUGAUCAGCCACACUGGGACUGAGACACGGCCCAGACUCCUACGGGAGGCAGCAGUGGGGAAUAUUGCACAAUGGGCGCAAGCCUGAUGCAGCCAUGCCGCGUGUAUGAAGAAGGCCUUCGGGUUGUAAAGUACUUUCAUUCGGGAGGCGUUACCGGCAGAAGAAGCACCGGCUAACUCCGUGCCAGCAGCCGCGGUAAUAC
rnacentral:rRNA from 1 species